GCGAAUUACAAAAGUUGCAUUUGGUGUGUCUAGGACAGAAAAAAACAGCAGUUUAAAGCUCAAGAGAAGCCACAAUAAACAAAAGAACCAUUGUGUUCACAGCUCACACCAAAGGUUAUUUACAGAUUCAAACACCUUCAAAACUUGGUAUGCGUCUUUAUUCCUACCAACCAAAGGGUGAUACAGGACCGAAAUAGAAUCAUCAGAAGCUUGCAACAAGUUUACACUGGUCAGGGAAAGUAUAUCGGCAAUUCCCGAUUAUAUUACAGUUCUGAAGCUUUGAGAGAAUGGAGGGUCCCUGCAAAUUUAUUUCUACUCGGAAGACACCGCGCUGUGAGCUAUACCCCUUAUCAAACAACCGAAACGUUGACAGCCUUGCCAGGAUUAGUAAACACGUGCCUUCGGCGGGAAAGUCUCGACUUCGUCAUCCAAGGUGUUCAUGUGAACUGGCCUGUAUUCUAGUCUAACCUUUUCGUCCUCCCAGUACCUACAUGAAAGAUAUUGUCAGAUUCUUGAUAUGUGAAAUUGCAAAGUAUUUCUUUACGGAGAGAGUACUAAAGAGAAGACACUAACCCUAGCGAGUGCUUCAUCCACUUGUCGUCAUCUCUUGUCUGCGAUGAAAGAGAGGAAAUAUAUUGUUACAAAAAAGAAACCUGUGGUGCACACACAAGAGAGCACAAGUGAUCAGAAGAGCAGCAUACCUUGAAAUCUUCGCGAGCAUGAGCUCCUCUGCUCUCUUGGCGAGCCUCAGCUGAAUGCAUGGUUAUGCAUGCGUUUAUUAGAAGAUUUUCUAAUUCUAUGGUCUCUAUCAAGUCCGAAUUCCUGCAGAAACAAAUGACAAUUAUUAUGCCCAAUUAGCAGAAAUAUUGAAAAUAAGCUGAAGAUAACACCAUUUAAUGAGACUCUUACCAUAUGAGACUUCUGUCACUGAGCUUGACAUCAUGGAAACUUUUCUGUGCUUCACUAAUCAGCUCGCAACCUGAUAAGUUCAAAGACCAGAGAAAAGCCAUCAGUAUACAACCUUUCAUAUACUUUAGUGCUGGAGUCUACUGUAUCUAUCUAACAUGUUCACCACCUACUGCUAGAUGGCCUCAAGAUAACUUACAGUGAAGAACAAGACAAAUGAUGUAUGCAUACCUUCUGUUAGAGUUUCCUGUGUGCGGAAAACUGCAGCAUUAUUUUGCAUAAUACGUUGCAUAUUGAGGCGGAUCUUCGAAGUAGGCAGUGAUCCAUUUGCAUUUCUCAGCUUGUCCAACCAAGCGAUGGUCUUCUCCCCUGCGUCUUUUUCAAGAGGUUUCUGUGUCUCUCCUAUAAUAAAUAUGGUGCACCAUGGAGCGAGAAUAAGCUAAGAGCCUAAGAGUAGUAAAACAACUAACAAAAUACUAGUCAACAAGACAUGAACUUGCCUGGCUUGGAAAUCUCAGCAACCCUGUUUGCGCAAGCCCUCCCAAAGACAACAAUGUCAAGAAGUGAAUUUGCACCAAGACGGUUUGCACCAUGAACAGAUGCACAAGCUGCCUCCCCAGCAGCCAUCAGACCAGGAAUAAUUGUG
rnacentral:lncRNA from 1 species